GCAGCAUCAGCGACAGCGACAGCAGUGGCAUCAUCAGCAGCAGCAGCAAACAUUGCAGGAUAGUAUGAAACAGGACUCAGCGCAGACGGCACGCGUUUCGCUUUUGAGGAGAACCAAACGCGAGAGUCGCAGCAGUCGCAGUCACAGUCGCAGUCGCAGUCGCAGCAAUUGCCGUUGCCGUUGUUGUCGUAGUCGCAGUCGCAAUCGUUGUCUCGUCUCCGUGGCCGUGUCUCUGUGUCUGCGUUGCGCACAAUUUGAAGAAUUCAACUACAACAAAGAAAAAAAGAAAAGAAAAUAAAAAUUGAAAAACUAAAUGCAAAUAAGCAGGCGAGAAAAACAAACAAAUAGAAAACGAACUAAAGCAGCAGCAACGAUUUGAGCAAAGCAAAACGGAAACCAAUUUUUUUUUCGCUGACUGCCGAAUCGUUUUGUGCCAAGCUCUCCGUCAGCGGCAACAACAACAAAUGCCAAAAGGGCCAACAGAGAAUGAAACUGGGACUAGCAGCAGGCGGGGCAAUACAAGGAGCAGCAGCAGCAGCGGCACAAGGACUAUCGCGAGGAGCAGGGAUCAAGGGGGAAGCGUCAAAAGCACAUUUAAAGAAUUUUAAUCGAAUACUGCCAAGUAACAAAUAUAUGUAUUUACAAUAUAUA